UAGGGAAUCUUCGGCAAUGGACGGAAGUCUGACCGAGCAACGCCGCGUGAGUGAAGAAGGUUUUCGGAUCGUAAAGCUCUGUUGUUAGAGAAGAACGUUGGUAGGAGUGGAAAAUCUACCAAGUGACGGUAACUAACCAGAAAGGGACGGCUAACUACGUGCCAGCAGCCGCGGUAAUACGUAGGUCCCGAGAGUUGUCCGGAUUUAUUGGGCGUAACGCGAGCGCAGGCGGUUCUUUAAGUCUGAAGUUAAAGGCAGUGGCUUAACCAUUGUACGCUUUGGAAACUGGAGGACUUGAGUGAAGAAGGGGAGAGUGGAAUUCCAUGUGUAGCGGUAAAAUGCGUAAAUAUAUGGAGGAACACCGGUGGCGAAAGCGGCUCUCUGGUCUGUAACUGACGCUGAGGCUCGAAAGCGUGGGGAGCAAACAGG
rnacentral:rRNA from 1 species